rnacentral:rRNA from 1 species
UAAACGGCUUGGGCGGUGUGCCUAAUACAUGCAAGUCGAGCGGAUUGAUGGGAGCUUGCUCCCUGAUAUCAGCGGCGGACGGGUGAGUAACACGUGGGUAACCUGCCUGUAAGACUGGGAUAACUCCGGGAAACCGGGGCUAAUACCGGAUAACUCAUUUCCUCGCAUGAGGAAAUGUUGAAAGAUGGCUUCUUGCUAUCACUUACAGAUGGACCCGCGGCGCAUUAGCUAGUUGGUGAGGUAACGGCUCACCAAGGCAACGAUGCGUAGCCGACCUGAGAGGGUGAUCGGCCACACUGGGACUGAGACACGGCCCAGACUCCUACGGGAGGCAGCAGUAGGGAAUCUUCCGCAAUGGACGAAAGUCUGACGGAGCAACGCCGCGUGAGUGAUGAAGGUUUUCGGAUCGUAAAGCUCUGUUGUUAGGGAAGAACAAGUGCCGUUCGAAUAGGGCGGCACCUUGACGGUACCUAACCAGAAAGCCACGGCUAACUACGUGCCAGCAGCCGCGGUAAUACGUAGGUGGCAAGCGUUGUCCGGAAUUAUUGGGCGUAAAGCGCGCGCAGGUGGUUUCUUAAGUCUGAUGUGAAAGCCCACGGCUCAACCGUGGAGGGUCAUUGGAAACUGGGGAACUUGAGUGCA